rnacentral:ncRNA from 2 species
AGGAAGUCCGGUGCGAAUCCGGCGCGGUCCCGCCACUGUCACCGGGGAGCGCGUCCCCACGCGUGGCCACUGUCCCGACGCCGGGGUGGGAAGGCCGGGCGACGUCGCGGGCGAUCCGGGAGCCAGGAGACU